AAAGCCUUGGAAAAUCUGGUGUGGGGGAAAUAAACCUUAACAAAAAUAGAACAACCAUCAUUCUGAGGUAUAAUUUACCUGCAUUAAGGAGGUAAUAUGUAUCAUGCCUUGCUUUAAGUAAACUUUCUGGAUGUAUGGAGAUUAGAUCCAGCAGCAAUUAAACCAUUGCCUCUGGAACACUGCACAUCUUCAGGUGUGUUACAAAGGCAAGAGCUUCACAAAUAGAAGUGUGAUUCUUUGAGCCCUUACAACAUCCAAAUAUAGAAUAUGUAAGUAUAUAGAUAUACUAAAUAUAGAAUAUGUAAGAUGUAAGUACUCUC
rnacentral:lncRNA from 1 species